GACAGAGGUGGCAAGCGUUGUUCGGAUUUACUGGGCGUAAAGCGUGCGUAGGUGGUUCGGUAAGACCUGUGGGAAAGCCCGGGGCUUAACCCCGGAAGGUCGCAGGUGACUGCCGUGCUUGAGGACGGGAGAGGAGAGCGGAAUUCCCGGUGUAGCGGUGAAAUGCGUAGAGAUCGGGAAGAAGGCCGGUGGCGAAGGCGGCUCUCUGGAACGUUCCUGACACUGAGGCACGAAAGCGUGGGGAGCAAACAGG
rnacentral:rRNA from 1 species